AAUGAUUGCAUCUUUAAGAAGAUCCAGCCCUUCUUCCACAACAAUUCCUUGCUUGCUGGUGCUUUAUGGACAUCAUCAGAACUUGAAAGUCUUUUCAGCGAGAUGCUUGGUUGUGUCUAAUGCCUUCAUUAUGAUCAUAUGCCUUCCCAAAACUGCUUUGUGUACUCAGCAACCCUGCUGCAUUUUUUCUCUCUCUCAACCCCUCGCAUGCAACUUUCAUAGUGAAAGGUUCUGCAGCACUUUGCAAGUUGCUCACACUACCAUCACUCAUACAUUGAUAUGCUAAUGCUUCUUGAGCACUCUCUUCCAUACCUUUUGCAAAAUAUAGUUUGUUAAUGAUGAUGGAAAGGAAGUUAGAUGCCUCCAGCCCUUCACUGAGGCAGAUAUUGAAGAAUUGCAGGGUGAGGAGAAUUUCAGUGACAAGGAAGACGUGGCAAGGUGCAGGAAGGGGCGGAUCCAUGGAGAGGGGCAUGGAUGGGGCCAAUACCACCACAACAACAAUCAUAAUGGAGGCUAUGCUAUUGGUACCCCACCUUCAAGCCACCCAGUCCAUGCUGAUUAGCAUUCAACUGUUGGUAAGCAACCACCUGGGCCCUGCAUACCAGAUGGUAGAAGGCGAUUCAGAAUGGGUUGAGGGAGGCCACUCGGUACAGAUCAAUGACAUUCCAAAUAUUAGCUUGACGGCACUGUAGUUUGUCAUGUUGAUUGGGUGACUUCUGAUAGGGGCGACUGUCAGAUUAAUCCAUUGCAGUUGGGAUGGUGAGCAACUGUGAUCUUAAGACUUGGUGGUUUCAGAGUCGAUUCUGUAUCUUCCCCCUACUUGGGGAGUAUUUUGGUAUCCUAUAGGACCUUGAUAUCAAUUUUCCUUGCCACGUUGUUGCCUUGUUGUUCCUUUGAUGCUUUCAACGUUCUCGUGUAAAAACAAAAGGAAAUAGAGUAGGGUAAACUGGUAAAUGUAGACUGAUAAAUGAUGUUCUCUGGAAUAGUUGAGAUGUUGUAUGUGAAAAUAUAUUGCCGUAGUACAGAAAAUAAAUCUUGUGAGUAACUUGGAUUUCCUUU